GAUGAAGAACGUAGCGAAAUGCGAUACGUAAUGUGAAUUGCAGAAUUCAGUGAAUCAUCGAGUCUUUGAACGCACAUUGCGCCCCCUGGUAUUCCGGGGGGCAUGCCUGUCCGAGCGUCAUUGCUGCCCUCAAGCACGGCUUGUGUGUUGGGCCUCCGUCCUCCUCCCGGGGGACGGGCCCGAAAGGCAGCGGCGGCACCGCGUCCGGUCCUCGAGCGUAUGGGGCUUCGUCACCCGCUCUUGUUGGCCCGGCCGGCGCUUGCCGACACAUCAAUCUUUUUUCCAGGUUGACCUCGGAUCAGGUAGGGAUACCCGCUGAACUUAAGCAUAUCAAUAAGCGGAGGA
rnacentral:misc_RNA from 1 species